rnacentral:SRP_RNA from 1 species
GCCAGGCAUGGUGGCACAUGCCUGUAGCCCCAGCUACUUGGGAGGCUGAGGUGAGAGGAUCACUUGAGCCCAGGAUUUCUGGGCUGUAGUGCACUAUGCGGAUCAAGUGUCCACACUAAGUGCGGGAUCAAUAUGGUGAUCUCCUGAGGGUGGGGGACCAUGAGGUUGCCUAAGGAGGGGUGAACCAGCCCAGGUCAGAGACGGAGCAGGUCAAAACUCCCAUGCUGAUCAGUAGUGGGAUCGCACCUGUGAAUAGCUACUACACUCUAGCCUGGGCAACAUAGUGAGACCCCGUCUCC